UCGGGCCUCUUGCCAUCAGAUGUGCCCAGAUGGGAUUAGCUAGUUGGUGAGGUAACGGCUCACCAAGGCGACGAUCCCUAGCUGGUCUGAGAGGAUGACCAGCCACACUGGAACUGAGACACGGUCCAGACUCCUACGGGAGGCAGCAGUGGGGAAUAUUGCACAAUGGGCGCAAGCCUGAUGCAGCCAUGCCGCGUGUAUGAAGAAGGCCUUCGGGUUGUAAAGUACUUUCAGCGGGGAGGAAGGUGUUGUGGUUAAUAACC
rnacentral:rRNA from 1 species